UUGAAAGGGAAACGAUUGAAGUCAGUCGUACCUGUGGGUAAUCAGCCUUUUGGGUGUGAUUUUGUGGAGUGUGAGGAGUUAAACGCCUUCAUGCCUGCAUAUUCGUGCACUUUGGGUGUAUUUACCCGUGUGGUAAGUUAACAUCAAUUUCGGUGGUCAUAAAAUGGCUGGAGGAAUGUAGCUUCGAUCUUGUAUUGAGGUGUUAUAGCCUUCGGUAGAUGUGAUGAUCGGGAUUGAGGAUUGCAACGGAUCCCCUUCGGGGCUACCUGUCUGAUCUCUGAUCGUUGCUCUGGUGCCGAAAGCUUGCUUACGGUUAUCAAAGUCGAUGGUCAAUAGGUUAGAAUGGGUUAAAUUCGUUAAGGAUGUUGACGUA
rnacentral:rRNA from 1 species